rnacentral:lncRNA from 1 species
CGUAAAGGUCAGGGCCGAGUCAGAGGGGUGGGCCUGCCGCCGGCUCCUGCCUAACUAGACUUCACAGUCUGCACCUUUUGACAGCACUGAGUAGCAGUAUCUGCAAGUGCUCGGCCUGCAAUAUGAGCUGCCGUGAAGACCAGGAAGCCGGGGAGGUAGGGAAGCGUCAGGAGUCCUGUUGGGGAUUGAAGCCGCAGCCAGCCCUGUCCGCUUCAGCCACCGGAGCAGUGACUGGUGCGGGACCUGGCUCCUCGGGCCACUCAGAAUCCUCAGAGUCCAGCAGGAAUCAACUCCCGUGAUCUCCUAAGGUGAGUAGAAAUGAAGAUAGGCAAGAACUGAAUCUUCAAAGAACAUUAACAAGCCACUGCUUGUUUGCACCCGUCCUGGCUCCAUGCAAUUUACUUUAGUGCAUGGCACUAAACCACAUCAUGCCCAUCAGAGUGCCUGCGACACAGGACGUAAUCAAUAGGAAGCUGUCAGCAAAUGCUGCUGAAGAGAAUUUUUUAGGUGCUGAAGGUCUUGAAAUAAGCCGCCUGUUUGGCAAUGGGUUCACUGGUCUCUCUGAAGACUCACAGCGGGUGGCGCUCCCUGGCUCUGUGAGGUACGUGUCACUUUCCCCCAGCAUCGCUAAGGCCAUCCUCCUCCGAAAACUGUGCAAACCUCUGAUAAAUCAGUAAAAAUUAUCUGCUCUUUUGUCUUUUUUAAGAUCAGCAUUUGGUUGCCACAUUUUGAAAGAAAAAUGCUGAUUGCAG